GCUAACAAGUAGCAAACAGAACAUCCCACUGAUGGGAAAAUAAAUAUGUUGUUAUGGAAUGGCUGUUUAUGGUACGAGAUGAGAAUUGUGGCUGCCAUCUUGUGGGCGUGAUCAUGCAAUAAUUAAGUACUUCACACGUCUAUUUAGUGAAUCCAGAGCUCUGCUGUCAGUGUAUGUUGUUACUUUGACUGAGACUAAAAACUUACUUGUUCUUACAUGUUGAAUAUUAAAUUAGAUCAACAAGGUAGACAUUUGAUUAGGAUAAAUUAGUAGGAUAUAAACGGUAGGGCUGAAACUAAUGACUAUUGUGAUAGUCGACUAAUCUGCAAUUAUUUUUCCAAUUAGUCGAAUAGUCAACGAUUAUUUUUGUCAUGACUUCCAUCUAAGCUUCCUGUGGGUGCACCUCCUGUUCUAGCUCCAGUGCACAUCUCAUCUCACCUGUUCAUACCUGUCAGUGUCACCCUGUUGUCCAGUGUCUCUACCGUAACAUUGCUGCAAGUCCUAAAUAAACUAAGAGCAAUGACUUUGGUCAAAGUGACGUUCAGAUUCAUAAAAAUAAUCCACCCUGUUUGAAAUCUUGCUGGAUGUGACAAGUCAAAAAUUAUAAGACUUCAACGCCAUCAAAAAAAUGGGAUAAGAUGAGACAGGACAGAAUAUUAGUGUUUAAUAAUAUAUUAGCUAGGGGUGCACCGAUAGAUCGGCCCAAUUUCCUUAAUUUUAGGUGAUCAGCGAUAGACCGAUUUUUGCAUGAGAAAAUAAUUUUUUCUGCCGAUUUGACCUACUUUCGCAAAGGUUGGAAAAUCAGCUGCCUGCCCACUUUUCCUCUGCUGUAUGCUGUGAGAGAGGGCUGACAGACCCGCCCACCGAGUCACGUCGUCUGCACAUGCGUUGUUCAGUUCACUCGUAGUCGGAGCAGGCGUUAUGUCGCUGGUUUGGCGGUAUUAUACUGUUAAAGAAAACGAUAAAAGGUAGCUAUUUGCAAUAUAUGUAAGACUGAAGUAUGUCGGGGUGGAGACAAAAUCAGAUCCUUCAAUACUACAAACCUCGUUCGCCAUUUAAGGAACCACCACGCCGCUGAGUAUGCAGCGUUUGAAGAAUGCAAUCAAGCUAAGGCUAAAGCUAAAGCUAGUAGAAGCACAGAGCCAGCAGGCCCGAUGUUAGCUCUUCUUACCGUUUUCAGUCGUCGAGGAUCAAGGUUUCAGAUGCAGCACUUGAACCCACGAUAUAAUCUGCCGAGUCGAAGAUACUUUUCCGACGUUGCAUUACCGGAGUUGUUUGAUCAAGUUUUGAAACACACGCGCAGCCUGCUAGCCGACGCUGAACAGCUCAGCUCAACAGACAUCUGGACUUCUGAUGUAAGUUUAAUGUCCAUGUUGAGUCUCACUGCGCAGUGGAUUGACGAACAAUUUGAACGUCAGAAAAUGGUGUGAAGGACAGUUAACCAACCCCUCACUUGACCUUAAAACCCCCUCAAUAAACCCCCCACAACAACCCAUGUGAAGACCAUCUCCCUGAAGGAUGAUUCGAAUAGAGAAAGUACAAGAAUCACUACUUCUCAGCACAGGUGAGAGAUGAGAUGAAACAGCUCCUUUUGGCCAAACUUGCAGAGAGGGAGACCAGAUGCACACCUGUGGAUGAAGAGCCUGUUGGAGGAUCAUCAGCUGAACUGGGACCUCCUGACACAGAUGCUCCUACAGCCAAAAGGUUCAGUCUACUGUUUGCAGUACACAAAGAAAUCCUGCAGGAGAACAUAAAUAAGGAGCAACAGCUGGCCAGCCCUUCAGCCAUGCAGGUACAGAACUACUUUUCUGAGGUUCCCAUCGACAGGAACCAGGACCCAAUUUGUAUUGUUUUAAAUGUAUUGUUCAAUAUUUUUCAAUAAAAUAAGAUUGGAACGUUGAAGACGUAUUGUGACCUUAUAACACCUGACUGUGUUGGUUGUAAAUCGGUAUCGAACAAAAUCGGAAUUGGCAGGUCAGACUUUUAAAGAUCGGAAAUCGGAGAUCGGCAAGAAAACUGCAAUCGGUGCACCCCUAAUAUUAGCAUAUAUUUAGUGAUUUAAUAUAAAGUGUUAGCAUAUCUGAUAGCUCUGCUUCCAACAAACACUGUUUUCUGAUGGUAAACUAAUCAUUGCAGCCCCAAUAAACGGCUACAAUUCCAAUGAAGUUGAUAAGUUGUAAAACCUAAAUAGAAUAACAACGUUUGCAAAUCUUUUUUAACCUACAUCAAUUGAAGACACUACACAGACGAGAUCAUUAAUGUUCAAACGGAUCAGCUUUAUUAUUUUUAUUACUUUUUUGUAAAUAUUCACUCGUUUUGAAUUUGAUCCCUGCAACACGCUCUAAAAAAGCUGGGAGAGGGGCAACAAAAGAGAGCAUCCACAAAAGGCUCAGCCAUUCACAAGCAAGUACGGGGCGAGGUUCACCACUUUGUAAACAACUACGUGAACAAAUAGUUCAACAGUUUCUCAUCAUAGAAUUUCAAAAGAUUUAGGGGUUUGUUGUUAUUUGUUUUACACAACGUCCCAAAAACUGUAUUUUCCAAACAAUAAGUUUCUUUGGAGUAUAAUCCACAUCAGUCAAAAAAUAUGUCAUGAAGAGGGGAAAAAAACUUUAUAUAAACGUCACGCCUGACUAUAAGCAGCAGGACCAGCCAAACUUUGAGAAAAAAAAGGUUUGAUUUAUAGUCUGGAAAAUAUGGAACUUAAGUUUACUAAAUCUAUUAAAGGGAUCCAUGAUUAGUUGUAACAUAAGACUUUAUUUGAUAAACAUAUAUUUUAACUGUAAAAUAAAG